GAUGAACGCUGGCGGCGUGCCUAAUACAUGCAAGUCGAGCGAACGGACGAAGCUUGCUUCUCUGAUGUUAGCGGCGGACGGGUGAGUAACACGUGGAUAACCUACCUAUAAGACUGGGAUAACUUCGGGAAACCGGAGCUAAUACCGGAUAAUAUUUUGAACCGCAUGGUUCAAAAGUGAAAGACGGUCUUGCUGUCACUUAUAGAUGGAUCCGCGCUGCAUUAGCUAGUUGGUAAGGUAACGGCUUACCAAGGCAACGAUGCAUAGCCGACCUGAGAGGGUGAUCGGCCACACUGGAACUGAGACACGGUCCAGACUCCUACGGGAGGCAGCAGUAGGGAAUCUUCCGCAAUGGGCGAAAGCCUGACGGAGCAACGCCGCGUGAGUGAUGAAGGUCUUCGGAUCGUAAAACUCUGUUAUUAGGGAAGAACAUAUGUGUAAGUAACUGUGCACAUCUUGACGGUACCUAAUCAGAAAGCCACGGCUAACUACGUG
rnacentral:rRNA from 1 species